UACGUAGGGGGCUAGCGUUGUCCGGAAUCAUUGGGCGUAAAGAGCGCGUAGGCGGCCAGAUAAGUCCGGUGUGAAAGUCAAAGGCUCAACCUUUGAAUGCCGCUGGAAACUGUCUGGCUAGAGUCCGGGAGGGGCGAGUGGAAUUCCUGGUGUAGCGGUGAAAUGCGCAGAUAUCAGGAGGAACACCAGUGGCGAAGGCGGGUCUCUGGGCCGUAACUGACGCUGAGGAGCGAAAGCAUGGGGAGCGAACAGG
rnacentral:rRNA from 1 species